UACAGAGGUCUCAAGCGUUGUUCGGAUUCAUUGGGCGUAAAGGGUGCGUAGGUGGCGGGGUAAGUCAGGUGUGAAAUCUCGGGGCUCAACCCCGAAACUGCACUUGAUACUGCCUUGCUCGAGUACUGGAGAGGAGAUUGGAAUUUACGGUGUAGCAGUGAAAUGCGUAGAUAUCGUAAGGAAGACCAGUUGCGAAGGCGAAUCUCUGGGCAGUUCCUGACACUGAGGCACGAAGGCCAGGGGAGCAAACGGG
rnacentral:rRNA from 1 species